AUCAACUUAACUUAAAAUCAAUAAAAAAAAUCAUGUUGCAGUGCCUGUGAGUGCCAGAAAGUGUUUAAAAUAUAUGUGAGGGAGGCAAGGUCGAACGUGAUAGAGGGUUUGCACUUACAUAACGAUGAGAACGAAGGUGCGACAGAGGCAAGGUCGAACGUUGAGAUCGACGGCGCGACGGAGGCUGAGUUCGAAAGUCGAGAUCGACGACGCGGCGGACUGCGAACCUGAUGGACGAGAAAGCGACGAAAGGCGAGAUCGAACGAGAUAGAAUGCGAGAGUGCGAGAAAGAAGAUGAACAAGGAACUCAUACUCUCUUUCACGAUGCGCCGGCGGAGCUUGGUGUUUGGUAGGUGUGAGAUUGUGAGAGCUGAGAAAACAUCAUCAAAACGAUUUCAUCUCUUUGUUUUUUUGUUUCAUGUUUUCUUUUUCUUUUAUCGUUUUAUUAUUAGUAGGAGCAGUAAUAUGGGUUCUGGUGGUCUCGUUUUGCAAUAAAAUAGUUCGAAACCGUACU